GCUUGUCUCAAAGAUUAAGCCAUGCAUGUCUAAGUAUAAACGACUUUAUACUGUGAAACUGCGAAUGGCUCAUUAUAUCAGUUAUAGUUUAUUUGAUGGUCCUUGCUACUUGGAUAACCGUAGUAAUUCUAGAGCUAAUACAUGCAUCAAGCCCCGACUUCUGGAAGGGGUGUACUUAUUAGAUGGAAACCAAUGCGGGGCAACCCGGAUUCUGGUGAUUCAUAAUAAUUAUCGGAUCGAUCGUAUGAUCGAUGCAUCAUUCAAGUUUCUGCCCUAUCAGCUUUGGAUGGUAGGGUAUUGGCCUACCAUGGCAUUAACGGGUAACGGAGAAUUAGGGUUCGAUUCCGGAGAGGGAGCCUGAGAAAUGGCUACCACAUCCAAGGAAGGCAGCAGG
rnacentral:rRNA from 1 species